rnacentral:tRNA from 1 species
AGGGUUGUGGCUCAGUUGGUAGAGUGCUUGCCUCACAUGCACAAGUCCCUGGGUUCAAUCCCCCAGCAACACCA